rnacentral:tmRNA from 5 species
CCCCUUUCCAUCGCCGCAGGAAUCCCUAUAUGGGGUCGUGCCGGGUUUGACCCGGCUAUGGCGAUAAACUGCGGCGUGCAAUAGACGCAGCGGACCCGGGGGCGGUACCCGGCGGCUCCACCACCUCUCUCGUUCCGGCCCUUGGGCCAGGCGGGAAAGAUGACGGGGCCGAACUAGGAUCGACGUGUGUUGAAAAGCGUUGUUUUCGCCCGGGCUGAGUAACCCGUUCAAGGCUCAAAACCAACAAGUGCCAACGACAACGAAGCACUUGCUCUCGCCGCGUAACCUGACGGCCUAACGGCCUGAUCUUACAAAGCGAAAGCGCGGCUGGACACGCCGGUCAACAGAAGUGAUACCAGCGGCCCGGGGGGUGCCGGGCAACAGAAAUCCCCCCACC